rnacentral:rRNA from 1 species
GGGAGCACAGAGCAAUCUGUGUGACUGCGUACCUUUUGUAUAAUGGGUCAGCGACUUAUAUUCUGUAGCAAGGUUAACCGAAUAGGGGAGCCGAAGGGAAACCGAGUCUUAACCGGGCGUUAAGUUGCAGGGUAUAGACCCGAAACCCGGUGAUCUAGCCAUGGGCAGGUUGAAGGUUGGGUAACACUAACUGGAGGACCGAACCGACUAAUGUUGAAAAAUUAGCGGAUGACUUGUGGCUGGGGGUGAAAGGCCAAUCAAACCGGGAGAUAGCUGGUUCUCCCCGAAAGCUAUUUAGGUAGCGCCUCGUGAAUUCAUCUCCGGGGGUAGAGCACUGUUUCGGCAAGGGGGUCAUCCCGACUUACCAACCCGAUGCAAACUGCGAAUACCGGAGAAUGUUAUCACGGGAGACACACGGCGGGUGCUAACGUCCGUCGUGAAGAGGGAAACAACCCAGACCGCCAGCUAAGGUCCCAAAGUCAUGGUUAAGUGGGAAACGAUGUGGGAAGGCCCAGACAGCCAGGAUGUUGGCUUAGAAGCAGCCAUCAUUUAAAGAAAGCGUAAUAGCUCACUGGUCGAGUCGGCCUGCGCGGAAGAUGUAACGGGGCUAAACCAUGCACCGAAGCUGCGGCAGCGACACUGUGUGUUGUUGGGUAGGGGAGCGUUCUGUAAGCCUGUGAAGGUGU